UAUAUAUAUAUAUAUAUAUAUAUAUAUAUAUAUAUAUGUAAAUGUCCCUCAGCUGGGUGUCAGUGGUGCUUCCAGGCACUGGCGAGGGCUCUGCUGUCAUCAUUUCCUGACCUGUUUUCAAUAGACUGGUUGCUGGAUUCAUUUUACAGCGCUGCAGAGUUCUGGCUUCACAUCAACCAACAAUCACUCCACCACUGUUGACAACUAAUAAGGCUAAGAUGAGCCAGUGGAACAAGAUGUAAACCCACGUCAAUCCUGGACUCAUUUAUGAUGGCACGAAUGUGUUUACUCCUGCAGCUAAAUAUCGGACUUCUGUAAAUAUCGCAACGUGGACCUCAAAAUCCACAGACCUUCUCGGAGUACAGUGCCAAAGGAAAUGUCCCUGUCUGCUGAAACAAAUUACUGAAACGUGACUACGUAUGAAUCACCCUGAUGUGACGCUACCCGGUAAACCGCUCCAGUUAGUCAUUUGUUUGACUGUCUCCUAGGUCUUGCGGCACGAUCAACAAGAACAGGCAGAUUUGGUCUGAAGAUACCUAAAAGUUGGAGGAUCAGCUUACACUUUUCCUAAAAUCUAAACCUUAAAGGAAACAAGGCUGACCUCAAAUCAGCUGGCUUACUAUAUGAACAGUCUGUUUAUUCAUAUCUUCUUGUGUUCUUUUAGCCUGCUGUGCAUUUGUUUAAAGAACCAGUAUCAUGUUCUUUUUGGGUUUCUACAUCCAAAACAGUUUUGAGUGCCACUCUUAUUUUUUUUUUAUUUGCAUGUGACUUACUAUGCCAUUGACCAAUAUAUUAUUAUGUCUGUUUGUUAAUCCUGUGCAUCUGAGUGGCCGAUCUCUUUAUGUUGAAGUGACUUUCAAUCCAAAGUACUGUCAGUAUUUUUCACUAUACUGAAGGUUGACUUGAAGUGACAGUAUGUACAAUAAUGUUGUGUUUCAUUUCAACAGUUUAACAUUGUGUGUUUUGCCCAAACCUUGUGUACAGUUUUUGUACAGUGCAUGUCUGCUCUUAUGAUUGAUGACUGAAUGUUUGGAGUCAUAGUAUUUGCGCUUAACUUCUUCCACAAUCUUUUGCAGUGGUCAACUUGUUUCAGUUGUCUGAAUAAAAUUUGUUUUCACAAGA